rnacentral:rRNA from 1 species
AGUGAACGCUGGCGGUAGGCCUAACACAUGCAAGUCGAACGGCAGCACAGUAAGAGCUUGCUCUUACGGGUGGCGAGUGGCGGACGGGUGAGGAAUACAUCGGAAUCUACUUUUUCGUGGGGGAUAACGUAGGGAAACUUACGCUAAUACCGCAUACGACCUACGGGUGAAAGCAGGGGAUCUUCGCACCUUGCGCGAUUGAAUGAGCCGAUGUCGGAUUAGCUAGUUGGCGGGGUAAAGGCCCACCAAGGCGACGAUCCGUAGCUGGUCUGAGAGGAGGAUCAGCCACACUGGAACUGAGACACGGUCCAGACUCCUACGGGAGGCAGCAGUGGGGAAUAUUGGACAAUGGGCGCAAGCCUGAUCCAGCCAUACCGCGUGGGUGAAGAAGGCCUUCGGGUUGUAAAGCCCUUUUGUUGGGAAAGAAAAGCAGCAGGUUAAUACCCCGCUGUUCUGACGGUACCCAAAGAAUAAGCACCGGCUAACUUCGUG